rnacentral:rRNA from 1 species
UGUGUAUCAGUACAUGGCAUAUCAAUAAGCGGAGGAAAAGAAACUAACUAGGAUUCCCUCAGUAACGGCGAGUGAAGCGGGAAGAGCUCAAAUUUGAAAUCUUCAAGGUUUUACCUUGACGAAUUGUAGUUUAAAGAAGUGUUUUCUGUUGGAAUUUUGGUAAAAGUUCUUUGGAAAAAGACAUCAAAGAGGGUGAGAAUCCCGUAUUUGACCAUUAUCUUCCAGCUGUGUGAUACACUUUCAAAGAGUCGGAUUGUUUGGGAAUGCAGUCCAAAAUGGGUGGUAAAUUUCAUCUAAAGCUAAAUAUUGGCGAGAGACCGAUAGCGAACAAGUACCGUGAGGGAAAGAUGAAAAGAACUUUGAAAAGAGAGUUAAACAGUACGUGAAAUUGUCAAAAGGGAAGCGUUUGACACCAGUGUUGUUUUCUCGAAAAUCAAUUAAAAAUGACCUGGAUUUUGUGUUGUAUUGACUUUAUCAGCUUUCUGCACUCUUUUCUUGUCUUUUUUAAUGCACUUUUCGUUUAACAAGUCAACAUCAAUUUCUUUUGUUGUAAAAGAGUCAUUGGAAGGUGGCUUUCCUUUCGGAGAAAGUGUUUAUAGCCUUCGACUUCUGCAAUCGGAGAGAUUGAGGUCUGCAGCGUAGAUCCUUCGGGGUUAGAUACAUUUGUGCUAAGUUAUAGUUUUUCAUAGACAACAUGUUGACUAUGAUUGAGUCAUGUACUUACUCGCAGUAUGCUAUUUUACCUACGCUUAGGAUGUUGACAGCAGUAUAGACUGU